UACGGAGGAUCCAAGCGUUAUCCGGAUUUAUUGGGUUUAAAGGGUGCGUAGGCGGAAUAGUAAGUCAGUGGUGAAAGCCUGUCGCUUAACGACAGAACUGCCAUUGAUACUGCUAAUCUUGAGUAUAAUUGAAGUGGGCGGAAUGUGUCGUGUAACGGUGAAAUGCUUAGAUAUGACACAGAACACCAAUUGCGAAGGCAGCUCACUAAACUAUAACUGACGCUGAGGCACGAAAGCGUGGGGAUCAAACAGG
rnacentral:rRNA from 1 species